AUGUACUAGGCUAUUAAAAAUAAUAAAAUUCUUAAGGCAGAAAAUCAUUGGUCAACUUGCCAUAUGGUGAUGAAUAUGACUAUAUGAGUUCUGAUCAGUGACCAUUUCGUCUAAAUAUAAGUAGGCUUAUACAUGCUUGUGCACAAUUUGAAAAAAAAAAAAAUUAUAACAAAUAUUUAGUGUGUAGGAAAAAUCAAAUUGUAUGAAGAUGAAUCCUUCAAAAAUAUUAGUUGCAUUGACUCUUAUUGUUCUCAUCGCAGCUUCUUCUGUCCAUUGCCGACCAAGUGAUCUCGUCUUCGGUAUGUUUUUUUCUUCACAUAAUCCCUAAUGUUACAUAUAGUGAGUCUGUAAGUGGAUCAAGUCCCUAAUGUUGGUCUGUCAAAAAGUUUAAUUAGGUAUUGGAUUGCAUAAACAUAUACCAUAACUAUAACUAAAAUUGUCUAAUAGCCAAAGAAAGCCUUCAUGUCUCAGCUUUAUAAACAUUGAUCUCUCCUUAUGAUGAUGAUGUUCAGGGGCGGACCCACAGCCAAGAUGGUGGGGGCAGCUGCCACCAGCAAAAAAAAAAAAAAAAAAAAUAUUAAAAAAUUAUUAAAUAUUAUUAAAAAACAAAAUCUGCCCCCACCAAAAAAACUAUUUUUUAUCUUUUUUUUUGGGAAAGCCCAUUAACCCAUGUACUAAAAAAUAUAUAUUAAUAUAUAAGUUAAAUACUUACUAAUAUAGACCUAAUUUUUUGUUAUUUUC
rnacentral:lncRNA from 1 species